GCCCGGUUAGCUCAGUCGGUAGAGCAUGAGACUCUUAAUCUCAGGGUCGCGGGUUCGAGCCCCGCAUCGGGCU
rnacentral:tRNA from 1 species